rnacentral:rRNA from 1 species
CAGUAGCCGCGGGAAUACGGAGGAUCCAAGCGUUAUCCGGAUUUAUUGGGUUUAAAGGGUGCGUAGGUGGCCUGUUAAGUCAUGGGUGAAAGACGGUAGCUCAACUAUCGCAGUGCCGUUGGUACUGACGGGCUUGAAUGAACUAGAGGUAGGCGGAAUGUGACAAGUAGCGGUAAAAUGCAUAGAUAUGUCACAGAACACCAAUUGCGAAGGCAGCUUACUAUGGUUUUAUUGACACUGAGGCACGAAAGCGUGGGGAUCAAACAGGAUUAGAUACCCCCGUAGUCCCUGUCUCUUAUAA